GGAUGAUAUUACAGUGAAAGAGGAAUAUGGGAACGAGGUUGUCAAAGUGGAAAAAGGGGUAGAAGCUUUCAGAAUCAAAAAGGAGGAAGAUGCCGUAAAAUUGAACCUUUUGGAGUAAAAGAGGAGGAUAUCUCAAUAAAAGAGGAAGACGAGACCGAACAUCCGAUUACCACCAGAGAGAGACAUGACAAUCGUGGAUCCUCUGGGGAGCCUCAACAACCUCAUGAAGCUGAAGAGGCAGAGAAGAGUCUCUCCAGAUCAGAACACCAGAUGGACAACGCUAGCCCAUCCUCCCUCCUGGAGUCCCAGUGUCGUGCCUCUCCCGGGAUGAAGAGGUUGUCUCUGCUGCUGGUGGACUGCAAGAAAACAACGGGGCUGAGUGGAACUGUGAGAGGAGGAGAAAGAACGGAUCAGAUUUGACACAUAAAAAAAUUGAGAAUGACACAGAAGGAAUGGAUGAGGACUCUGUGAGUGAUCUGAGUUUUGAUUCCAGCGAGGAUGAAAUGUUUUUGGAAGAAGAAGAUCCACUUUCCGAUCAUGGCACUGACCCCAACUGGGAGCCCCCAGUGCCAACUUGUCCAUCCCCCUCUGAAGCUGGUUCAUCCUCUGGCUCCACACCUCCGGGCCGUCUAGAGGACCGACAAAGAAGCGGAAGAGGG
ensembl:lncRNA